rnacentral:other from 1 species
AAACCUAUAGUUUGCGCGCACCACGGGAUUCUCGUUCCCUACGUACGACAGAUUUUGUGGUUGCGAUGUUGUGUUUGCAUAUUUCGGCAUCGCCGAAAUUCGGUAGAGAUAUCUACCUUUCAUACUCGCUGUAUUUUUUGAAUCCUAUCAAUCAAAAAAUUUGUCGUAGCACUGAGCAGAUUGCCCGGUGCUUUUUUUU